GUUUCCCAGUCGAGCACGGCUUCACAGCCUUUCGAUAAGAAGCAAAGGUGGCACAUGGAGCCAGGUGUUCUAGAGAAAGGAGGGGAAGGUGGUGGGAGGCACGAAGAAACCAAAAGAAACAGAAAGAAGCAACAACAACUCAGGGACCCGGUCAGCGUGGGCAGGGCGAAUCCAAGUGGCCUGGACCAGAGGCAGUUGCCCCCCAACCAAGAGACUGUGGCUGUCCGGAAACAGAGGAGGCUGAAGGGGUGGGGAAAAAGGGUGGGGGUUAGGAAAGUGUAUAUUUUUUGUUAUCAGGUGCUCUGUCUCCUGCUGGGGAACUUCGUGAAGCUGCUUUUCAGUACUCCCUGUCCACUGAUCUGUGAUGUGGGUGGGGCAAAUCAAGCAGCACGGAUGCUGCACUUCCCAGCCUGCCAAUCCACCACAGCCAGACAGGAAGCUCGGAGGUAGAGCAGGGGGGAGAGGAUGGAGGGGGUGGGAAAGUUUGUGUCCCUGGUUACCGGGUGCUCUGUCUCCUUCUGGGAGCUCUGUGAAGCUGCUUUCCCUUGCUCCCUGUCUGCCAGUCCCCAAAAGGAGUCCAAGAUGGUGAACCCGUGCUGCGUUAGCUGAUAGGGCACUUCCGCAUGUAUCUCUCCUCACUCCCUGUCCUCUGUCAGUUUCUUAUUCCUUUUGGUGUUUGGCUGAGUUCUUUAUCUUUUCAUUUGACACUUCGGGUUCUAGGAAUGAUGUUUAUCUCUGUUUUGCUUAGUUUUUUGGGUGUUUGGUAUGGAGGGACAAUGUGGUGCUUCUGUCUCUGGCGCUGUGUUUGCAGGAAGUUCACUCAAAGAUUCUUGAAACUUCUUUUGAUCAGAAAAUUGGUCACAUUCUUCAAAUUUGCUUCAGAGCCUUUGACUUUCGCAAAGCAAAUUAAUACAAAAGAGAUAAAAUUUGCCCCCAUUUUGUCCAACACCCAAGGAUAAUAUCACACAACUUGGGUUUCAAACUUGGUUGGAGUAUAAAUGUGACAAACUCUUUGGCUGCACACAACUUGUGUUUCUAUGAUUCAUUCACCUUCUGUAAACAUUUAGUACAUCUCUCUCUAUUCCACUAAAACAUCCCUUUAAAAAGCACUUUAAGAAAGAAUCAAUGCUUUGUUAAUGUGAAGGAUUAUCUUUUCUGAGGUUGAGUUGUAAUAAACAUUGUGUUUUUGACAUCCAUAACUUUUCAAUUUGGGGCUUAGUUUUCAAAUAUUUUAAAACUAAAAUAUUCUUUCCCUGACCUUCCUUCCAAUAUAAACCCAAGUUUAUACUAAAAGAUAAAAUUCCAACAUUUCAGAGAAAGUGAAAGUCUGCAAGUUACCUUGCUCCCUGGAGAUAUCACUGUCGAUAGGUUUUUCCCCCAUUGAAAAUAUAUUUUUAGUAAGUGGUAUCAUAAUUCAGUAUGUUCUUAGCCUUUUAGAAACCUGGAAAGUCUGUAAAGCACAUAUAUAUUUUUUAAAGCAAUCUAUUUAACCAUUCUUUCAUUUUCUUCUCAAACUUUUUAUUGUCUACUUUUGUUUUAAGGUAUAAUUUUUAAAUAGUUAUGAAUUUGUAAGGGAUGAAGCAGAGGAAGAUUUACUGUGAAGCUAAUGAAGCUUAAACUUUAGGGCUCCUCACCUACAUGGGCACCUUCCAAGGCCUGUCCAGGGCCCCAGAAAUAGUGUGGUGAUGGUGGACUUCAGUCCUCCCAGUGACUUCCAUCCCAGCAAAGGAGAAAAAGAGCAGUCUGGGAGACUGACACAGCUGUGUCCUGGGUUAUACAAGCCCUGGUGAUGAAUGGUUUGUUUUCUUUCUGGACCCAAUGGUGGAUGAUCAUUAAGAGUAUACAGAUGUCUGACGAUGGGUCUCAAGACAGAAGUGAGGGCAUUCCAUGGCAGGAGACUACUUGAGCAGUGGCAUCCUGGUGGGACAAGGGGCUGAAGAGGCAGGCCACCCUGGGUGAGCGCAGACAUUUACAGGAUGUGACCCGAAGCAAGAAAACUGGCUGGAUCUGAGAAUCACUGGAAGGAGAAGGAGGGGAUUAUAGUGGCUGACAUAUCUAAGGGAGUUUGGAGUAUGACUUACUCAACUGUGGAAGGUGCUUCUGAAAGGCAGGGGUGGCUGAAAUCUGCAAAUUGGUGGUUGGUGGUGACGUCGUCAGUCAGGCUAUGCCUGGUUGAGGGUGGGUGUGUUGGGAGAAUGUCAAUGCAGUUGCCUCUCUCCAAGUUAGUCCUGGAUGAUAAAGCAAGAGUGAGGCUUGUGGGGUGGAGUUUGGGGAGACCAGCGCUACUCUGCAGGUGGGGAGUCACCUUUUCUGGGAAGGUGGCGGUGACCUGGAGGCACUUCUGGGAUUGGGACAGAACCCUAAACUGCUCAGUGCUGUCCUUGCACCAUUUAGCUUCUAAAACUCUGGUGGUAUAGUGGUUAAGAGCUACAGCUGCUAACCAAGAGGUCGGCAGUUCGAAUUCACCAGGCGUUCCUUGGAAACUCUAUGGGGCAGUUUUACUCUGUCCUAUAGGGUCGUUAUGAGUCGGAAUCGACUCUAUGGUGGUGGGUUUGGUUUUUGGUUUUGAGUCCCCACAGAUCUAACCUACCUGGAGAGUCUGAAACUGCAGGGUCUUCUCGCCUCUGGUUCUUUUCUUUUUUGUUGUUGUUCUUUCUUUCUAAAUUUAAGAGAGUCCCUGGGUAAGUUCCUAGGGCUGCUGUACUAAAGUACCUUAAGUUGGGUGGCUUAUAAGAACAGACAUUUAUUGUCUCAUAGUUCUACUGUUGUUGCUGUUGUUGGGUGCCAUCAAGUCGACUUCAACUCACAGCGAGUCCGUAGGACAGACUACAACUCCCACACAGGGUCUUCUUGGCUGUAAUCUUUACCGAAGCAGAACGCCCGUCCUCCUCCUGCGGAGCCACUGGGUGGGUUCAAACCAGCGACCUUUUUGUUAGCAGCCGAGGGCUUAACAUUGCGCCACAAGGGUCCCACCGCCUCCGGUACCUUACUGCAUCUGACUUUGUUCUGCACCCUGCUGCACGUUUCCGAGUUCUUGGCCCCUCCCCUUGAUUAGGCUUACUUGGUAGAACUUUCAAUUCUGAAUCCACAAGUGUAGUCCCACCCCCUCCUGGGCGUGGGGGGAAGCUCACCCACUGCUUUUAACCGCCGUUCCAGCUCGCGGAAGUGGGCCUCUGCUGGGGCCUGCGGCUGACUUGGCUGUGAUGCAGGGCCCUCCGCAGUGAAAGUGACACGCACGAGGUCAUGGAGGGCAUCAAGGAUCCUAGAGGUGUCCUAUCUGAUGGAAAUGGGACCUAUGAGACACAGUUGUCCACAAGACUUCCUCAGUGAGAGGAGCAGAGGUACAACUGCCAUGUGGAACACAGCGGGAAGAACAGUACACACUCUGUGACCUGUGGAAGAAGUUUCAUCUAUGGUUUCCUCCUUCCCAGAACUCCACACUCUUCGCGAUGACAUCAUGGUGGUCUCCAAGGAUGGAUCUGUGCAACCGUGAAUCCUAGCUGUGGGGCAUUUGGAUGAAAAGUCUUUCCUGCACUAUGACAGUGAGACAGUGCCCCCAGCAGUGAAUGUGACUCACCGCAAGGCCAUGGAGGACAACGAGGAGCCUGGGGAUGUCCUAUCUGGUGUGAAUGGGGCCUACAUGACCAGGGUGUCCACAAGACUCCCUCGAGAAGAGGAGCAGAGGUACAGCUGCUAUGUGGUACACAGCAGGAAGAAGAGUACACACCCUGUGACCUGUGGUGAACAUGGGUGAUCCCAGAAGAGGCUGCAACUUGGAUGGACCUUGGUACAAGACAGUUUAUGGCCGAUCAUUCCUGGUAUUGUUGCUGCUGUCAUUAUUAGUGUUAUUAAUGUUGUCCUUUGAUGCUGCAAGAGGAGGAGGCGAGCCAGAAGCAGAAGACCCAGGCUCCCAGGCAUAGCCCAGACAGGAUGUAUGGUGAAGCCUGAGCUGAUCGACAAGACCUUGGAUGAUUAUGGAAUCAGAGGGAAAAAAUAGUGCAAGAGUUUAUGAUCUGGUGAGGUGGGAGUCGUUAUUUCUUACAGGAAUAUGGAUGAAAUGUGAUGACUCUAGUCCAUGUCUGCCUCUCCCUCCAAGUGUCUCCAGUGCUCAUGAGGAAACAAGAAAAAGACCCCUGAACCUCCUGCCUGAAGCUCCCUGGGGAGCCCCCACUUAGAGCAGACAUUUGAGCCUUGAGCACAGGUGGGCGUCUUCUGUGCAUUUGGUAGCUCCUCAGAUCCCUCCUGCAGACCUGAGUCCUGUGUUUGGUUUUCUCUGUCCAACUCCUGUCCUGUGCUCUUUUCAAGUCCCCAUCACACUUCUUCAUGUUCUUGCUGCUUUCUCGUGGAUGAUGUGGAGAGGACAUGAGUGAUGAACCCUACUGUUUGGGAAGAGGAACCAGCCCAUCCUCAGGGGAGCUAUGGUGUUUGGUGUUGUCCUGUCUCUGAGGGUUUCCUGUCCAUCCGUCUGGGUGACAGUCCGCAGUGUCUCUUUACUAGGUCAUUUGGCCUGAGCUCUCUCCUCCUUGAGCCAGUUCUGCUUUCUUGUGAUGGUCACUGUCCUGUAAAUGUGGAAUAAGGGAUGGCCAAAAUGCUUUCCCUAAUAAUCAGAUUGCUUGAGGAGAAAGAAAGAGAGAAAACAGAAAGUUUAUCUUACUGCAAAAAAGCAAAUGUGAUUCAUGAAGCCAUGAGAGGGUGGGGUGUCUUUCUGCUGCUUCUACCGCUUCUGUGUGACCAGUGGGAGGGAGACAGCAGCACUGACUUCUCCUUGAACGUAAUUUCAUCACAGUUUGUUCCUUGUUCCUGGGCAAUCUUGGACAGUGAGUCUCCUCCCUCACUGCAAAGGGAUCCAUCCAUGUUGUACCAGGUGGUGGCAGUGCAGGCCCGUUGUUGCCCCUGCUCUCAACUGCAGUGUGGGUUCCUUGUGGGGCAGAAAGUAUUGCCUCCAUGUAAGUGGGGGCAUUUGUCAGGAAAAAAGUGUGACAAGCAUGUGCUAGUUUCUCAAAAGUCCUGCAUUAAAUUUUGAUAUCCAAUAAUGGUUUUAUGAAUAUAGCAUUUCCUCUAGUACUGAUCUUCCAACAUUUUAAAGGAAGCAGGAAUUUACAUGUGGAGAGCCCUUGCAGCGAGACCCCAGGCUUAGAGGGUGGGGAGACACAGCCUCAGGCUGAGGGGUCUCAAGAAUUCCCCUCUUCUGCAUUGAGAAGGUCCCCUGUGGGCAGUGGCCUGGUCAGAUCCCUGUGAGGAACAGGGACAGGGAGGCCUGGCCAUUUCAGCCAAGCAGCUGGACUUGGGGUGUGGCUGUGUUUCCUAUGGCCGUGUGAAAUGGUCAAUAGCAAGAAGACCUCAGUGCAGCUUGAGAGCCUGGCAGGUGCAGGGGAAGGUGGGGUCUCUGCAAGCAAGGGGUGCCCCUGGGUCAGGGCAGUUACAGACCCUGUGUUGGCCACAUUUUUCUUGAUGAAUCUUCUGGUCACCUGAGCCUCCUGAUGGGCCCUCCUGCUAGGAGCUGCUGGCUCAGAGAGUGGCAGGGGUAGGAGGUAGAGAGGUGCUGAGCUGCAGGUGGUGGUCGGUGCCUGUACUUGAGCAGGGUCAGUGAAGCAGGGAUGGGCACUUGUGUGUAUGAGCUUCUGCAGGUGAAGAGAGUGGAGAAUUAAAGGAGAGAAUGAAUUGCGUUUGUAACCCGUGCCAAGGCCUCAAAGAACAAGGAGUUGGGGCCUUGUUCACUCUGUCAGGGGGUGAGUGGGGCUUGAGAGGAGGGAGGGCACUGGGUUUCCAUGUCUUGAUCUUGUCUUUUUGUCUUGCCACCUUUUCACUUCUAGGUGACAAGCAGGGACAAGUGACAGUGUUGCUGUCAUGAUGGGAGGAAACUAGUAAAGGCUGGAAAAGUGGGGUGAGAGGCAUAAGAAAGUGGAGCGUCUCUUUCCUGAGGACAAGGCAGAAUCCAUUUUUGGAGAGAGCAAGAAGAAGUUCUGAGCGAUUAGAAACUGUUCUGUAACAGUUGAACACUCACUGAUUUCUCUUGAUGGUUUUCCAUUUGCCCUUUGUCUCCAGAGCAAGUGGAGUUACAACACAUGGAUGGAUACCAGAAGGUGCCAGUAGACCAAAUGGUGUUGGGCAGCUGGGCUCUCAGUCUCUGCUGUCAGCUCCUGAGUGUGCUGAUUCACCUGUGGAUGCAUAGGCUUUUUUUUUUUUUUUUUAAUUUUUAUUGUGAUUUAAGUGAAAGUUUACAAAUCAAGUCAGAGUCUCAUACAGAAAUUUAUAAACACCUUGCUAUAUACUCCUAAUUGCUCUCCCCUUAUUUUUUAUUGAGACAGCACACUCCUUCCCUCCACUCUCACUUUUCAUGUUCAUUCAGCCAGCUUCUGACGCCCUCUACCCUCUCAUCUUCCCUUCAGACAGAAGGUGCCAACAUAGUCUCAUGUGUCUACUUGAUCCAAGAAGCUCAUUCCUCACCAGUAUCACUUUCUAUCCCAUAGUCCAGUCCAAUCCCUGUCUGAAGAGUUGGCUUCAGGAAUGGUUCCUGUCUUAGGCUAACAGAAGGUCUGUAGACCAUGACCUCUGGGGUCAUUCCAGCCUCAGUCAGACCAUUAAGUCUGGUCUUUUGAUGAGAAUUUGGGGUCUGCAUCCCACUGCUCUCCCACUUCCUCAGGGGCUCUCUGUUGUGUUCCCUGUCAGGGCAGUCAUCAAUUGUAGCUGGGCACCAUCUAGUUCUUCUGGUCUCAGGCUGAUGUAGUCUCUGGUUUAUGUGGCCCUUUCUGUCUCUUGGUCUCAUAAUUACCUUGAGUCUUUGGUGUUUUCCGUUCUCCUUUUGGAUGCAUAGACUUUUGUAAUUAUUAUCAUAAAUUGUUGUUGUUAGUUGCUAUCAAGUCAGUACUGACUCAUGAUGACCCCAUGUGUGGAAAGUAGAACUGCUGCAUAGGUUUUUUUGUUUUUUUUUUUAUGUAUAAUUUAAAAAUUCAACAAUUUUGGGCCCUUGGGGCACAGUGGCUAAAGCGCUCAGCUAUUAACUGGAAGGUCGGAGGUUUGAACCCACCAACUGCUCUGCAGGAGAAAGAUAUGGCAGUCUGUUUCUUUAACAAUUUACAGCCUCAGAAACUCUAUGGAGCAGUUGUACUCUAUCUUAUAGUGUCGCUGUGAAUCAGAAUCAACUCAGUGCCAGUGGCUUGGGCUUGGGCUCUUACCCUCCUUUUCUGAGUUUUUCUUCCUUCCUUAACAUGAACUCAUUGCCCUCUGAGUUUCCUGUUUAAUCUUUCAAAUUGCUGUUGUCAAUUUGAUCCCAUAUAGAUAGUUCUUAAAAGAGAUCAGUGCUCAAGGUAGACACUCUUUACUAGUUAAGUCAAGCUAUUGUUUGUUUUUUAGAAGACUGGAGGAGAUAUUUUUUUGUUUAAGGUUUAAAGAUUAUCUCAGGGCAAUAGUUUCAGGGAUCAUCCAGCCUCUAUGGCUCCAGAAAUCUGGAUUCCAUGAGAUUUUAAAUCCUGUUCUGCAUUUUCUCCCUUUUGAUCCGGAUUCUGUUAGAGAAUCUUUGUUCAAAAUAUUCAGUAAUGGUAGCUGGGCACCAUCCAGUCCUCUGGUCUCAUAGCAGAGGAGGCAGUUGUUCAUGGAGGCAAGUAGCCACACAUUCCAGUUUUCCUCCUAUUCUUAAUUCUCGUUCUUCCUCUGGUGCUGCAAACAAUGGAGACCAAUUGUUUUACUUUGGGUGGCCGUUUGCAACCUUUUAAGACCCUAGGCGCAAUACCCGAACUAGGAGAUUGAACAGAAGCACAAACACAAUAUUAGGCCAGUUAACUGAGAUGUCCAAUGAAACCAUGACUCUAAACCUCCGGAACAAGACACCAAAUCCCAUGAUAUGUAUUAUGGAUUGAAUGGUGUCCCCCCAAAAUAUGUGUCUACUUGGCUAGGCCAUGAUUCCCAGUAUUGUGUGGUUGUUCUCCAUUUUGUGAUCUGAUGUAAUUACCUAUGUGUUGUAAAUACUAACCUCUAUGAUAUUAAUGGCGCCCUGCUGGUGUAGUGUUUAAGAGCUUGUCUGUUAACCAAAAGGUUGGCAGUUUGAAUCCACCAGCUGCUCCUUGGAAACUCUAGGGGGCAGUUCUACUCUGUCUUAUAGGGGCUCUAUGAGCUGGAAUCAACUUGAUUGGCAAUGGGUUUGGCUUUUUUUUUUUGGCUUAUGAUGUUAGUGAGGGAGGAUUAGAGGCAGUUAUGUUAAUGAAGCUGGACACAAUUUACAGGAUUAGGUUGUAUUUUGAGUCAAUCACUUUUGAGAUGUAAAAUAGAGAAGUGAGCUGAGAGGAGAGGCACCUCAUUACUACCAAGCAAGAAGAGCCAUGAGCAGAGCGUGUCCUUCCACCUUCCUGGGAUGUCCUUCCCCCACCCCCUGGGAGAGUGCUUUUAUGUUAUGGAGUCACCUGGGAUCCUACUAAAUUGUAGACUGAAAAUGUCGGGAGUGGGGCCUGUGAGCCUACUUUUCCAACCAGUUUCAGGCAAUGCUGAAGCUUGCUGGUCUGAGGAUCACACUUGGAGUAGCAAGCAUCUCUCCUUGUCUCUCUCCUGUGUUGUGUCUAGUUGUCUGUGUCCUAUGUCUUUCUCUUCUUUUACACCCUUUCAGAUUUUUGGCAGAAUUAAUAUUUUGGUAGCUUACUUAUAUUGUAUUUAUUUUUGGUGGCAAUAUAUAUAAUGAAACAUGUGUCCAUUCAGAAUUCAUACGUGACCAGCUCAAUGACAUUGGUUACAUACUUCACAUUGUGUCACCAUUCUUAAAUCUCUACCCACAUUUUUUCUUCACCAUUACUUUAGGCUGUCUGCCCCUUAAAGCUUUCAUCUGUGCUUUAGAUUGACUGUUGUCAGGUUACACUCAUCUAGAUAAUUCUUUAUAAGAGCGCUAGCUAGAAGCAAACAUUCUUUAUUAAUAGGUCUAAAUAAAAUGUUGUUUAGUAUAAUGAUGGCUUCAUGGGAUAGUUUCAGUUCAAGGUUUAAAGGUUAUUUUUAGGCAUUAGUGUCAUGGAUUGAAAUGUGUCCUCGAAAAAUAUGUGGCAGCUUGGUUAGGCCAUGAUUCCCAGUAUUGUGUGGUCGUCCUCCAUUUUGUGAUUGUAAUUUUAUGUUAAAAAGAUUAGGGUGGGAUUGUAACACCCUUACUAAGGUCACAUUCCUGAUCUAAUGUAAAGGGAGUUUCUCUGGGGCGUGGCCUACACCACCUUUUAUCUUACAAGAGAUAAAAGGAAAGGGAAGCUAGCAGAGAGUUGGGGACCUCAUACCACCAAGAAAGAAGCACCGGGAGCAGAGCACAUCCUUUGCACCCAGGGUCCCUGUGUAGAGAAGCUCCUAGUCCGGGGGAAGAUUGAUGAGAAGGCCAACAAAGAGAGAAACCCUUCCCCUGGAGCUGAUUCCCUGAAUUUGGACUUUUAGCCUACUUUACUGUGAGGAAAUAAACUUUUCUUUGUUAAAGCCAUCCACGAGUGUGAUUUGGGGAUUUGCCCAGUCUCAAUGAAUCCACUGAGUCAGGUUUCCAUAUGAGUCUGAAGUUCUGUUCCAUGCUUUCCCUCCUUUUGAUUAGGAUCAAUCUAUUGGGUCCUUGAUCAAUAUGUUCAGUAAAGGUAACUGGGCACCAUCCAUUUCUUCUGGUCUCAUGGUAAUGAAGGUAGCAGUUUAUGGAGGCAAUUAACCCUGCAGCCUAUUUCCUUCUCCAAAUUCUGGGUCUCCUUGCUCUGCUGUUCCAGAUGAAUAGAGACCAAAUUGUUGUAUCUUGUGUGGCCCCUCUCAAGCUUUUAAGACUUCUUGUGGUAGUAUAUAUAUACAAGGUAUGUUUGCAUGCUUCAAAAAUGUCUAUAAUAAUUGUUCUGCUUGAUUAAUAGCUUGGCUGAGUACAGAAUUCUAUGCCUGAAAUUAUUUUCCCUCAGAAUUUUGCUUCAUAUGUUUAUUUCUUCCCUUGAGAAAACACAGGGCUCAGGCAUUUACAAUGUAAAAGUUUCAUUUCAGGGCUGCCCACAGUUUUGGGAAAUAGUACAGAUUUAUACUACUGUUACUGUACUUGUUGCUGUGACAAUUGGCAUUUGGAGGAAGACAACAACUUCACAUUCAGAGAGUAUAGGUGAGGAGCAACCUGGACACCUGGAAACGAGAAGAUAGGACUCUGAGAUAUUCCAAGGUAAGGGACUGUAUUUUUUUUUUUUUUAUGUAUCCUUCCCUUCUUCCUUCCACCAGCCCAGUUACAAGUGUGGUUAGGGCAUUGGGCUCUUGGUUCAUUGAUUUUGUGAAAUUUUUUUUCCCCCAUGGAGAAGGAUAGAACAGCAGCUGGGUGUCAGGUGUGACUCCAAUUCUUGUCAGCCUAGAAAACUGAACUGACAAGAUUUAGGGGUCCCUGACCUUGGUCUCCUCCUCCUUUAACUUAGUUUGUGAUUCAGAGCCUUACUCCAUUCACUUGGGCCUCAAUUUUAAUCAGCCUUACAUCAGGCUCAAUGUUUCCUGCCUGACCUGUAUCACAGGAAUUGAGACCAGAAGGAAUGGAGGAAAGGUUAAGGUUGUGAUAUUCACCCUAAGCCCACUUUUGCAGAUGAUUGCCUUGCCUACCCUCCCCACAAGCCUAGCUAAGCCCCUGUGUCCCUGCCUUAAGUUCUCAGUGGGGAACCCUUGCAGUUAGCUUCUGCUAGGAUGUGUGGUGAAGGAGGAGAGAGCAAGUUAGAUUCUCUACCCUCAACCCUUAAGACCCCAUAGUAUUGUCUGAAGUUUUUUCACAACACGCUUUCCCAGAAAUUCUUGUACAGCCAAUGUCUGUGCCUGUAUUUUUGGAAGACCCAUCAUGGAGUGAGGGUGAUCUAUAUCCCUGAUGACACUCUGAAAUCAUUUUUCUUCUCACGGAAACCAGGUGAGAUUGACAGAACAUGACUUGUGUCUUUUUCCCUCUAAGCUAUAUAUCUAUUUCUAUGUCUUUCUAUCUUAGAAUAUUUUUACCAGCAACAAAAUCAGCAAGAUUAAUAUUAUGAGUUAUUGUUACCCAAGUCAACAAUUAUGAACAUUUAUCUCAUUAUAUAUCUCUUCCAACCUUAUUUGCUUGGCUCUUUUCCAGCACGUGGGAGGCAUCAUUAAGCAGGUAUGUUAAGGUCUUUGUGGCCUAUCCAUGAGAAUAUCCACAUCUGUAAAGGCAAAGAACAUGUAACACCUGUAAAUUUUUAGCUAAAUGCUCUUUUGUUACAAAUCACGCUUGCUUGCUUGUGAUGAAUUUCUAAAACUUAGAGAGCAGUUUUUUUUUUUUUUUUGUCGUGCUUAGGUAUUACUAUUGUUGCUAGCUGAGGUCAGGUAGGACCCUGAUUCACAGCAACCCCAUGCACAACAGAAAGAUUGUGGUUUGCAUCAUUGUGAUUCAUGUAGUUUUCAUCCACUGAUUUUUGAAACCGUAUCGCCAGGACACUUCUAGUUCAUCUUACUCUGGAAGUUUCAUUAUCAUAGCAACACAAAGCCUCCUUGAGACUAUCUUAAUUGGAUGUCACUAUUGGCCCCCAUUCUCUGCCUUGAACUGAUAAAGUCAUGGAAACAUCCCCUCUCCUCAGUUCUCCAAGACUCAGCUGCAAGUCUUCACAACAUCUGGUACAUCCACCCAGUUGCCAGUUGGGCCAGUCUAUGUCUUGUUUAGAUAGUUGAGCAAUGCCACCUCCAAGAAAAGUAGGGAAAUAUAUUGGAUCACUAUUUGACCCUGCAUUUAAUGGUGAAUAAAGUGAUUGAGUGGGGCAGGAGGAUGUGGGAAAAGGUAUCUUAAUGGUGAAGAAAAAAUUGCAUUGAUUAAGGGUAGGGUUGCACAGCCAAUUAUUGUAAUUGCUGUCAAUAAGUUGUGCACCUUUAAAAAGUUGAAUUGGCAGAAAUUGUGUGAUAGAUAUAUUUACAGCAACAACAACAAAGAGAGUAGCAGCUGAGGGGACUAAUUGGUAAGUAUAACCAAACACCCCAUGGGAUUUGGCUCUUUGUUUGGAGGUUUUAGGGUCAUGGUUUCAUGGGACAUUCCAGUUAAUUGGCCUAAUAAUGUGUUUAGUGCUUCCGUUCUACCUAGUUAAUUGUGAAGUGCCUGGGGUAUUGAAAGCUUGCAAGCGGCCAUUCACACCACAACAGGUGGUCUCUAUUCACCUGGAGCAACAGAGGAAGAAGGAGAAUCAGGAAUAGGAGGAGGAUAUGGAAUGUGUGGCUAAUUACCUCCAUGAACAACUGCCUUCUUUGCCAUGUGACCAGAAGAACUGGAUGGUGCCCGGCUACCACUGCUGAACAUCUUGAUCAAAGAUUCCAUCAAAGAGCCCUGAUCUAAAGGGGGGAAAUUUAGAAUGAAAUUUUAAAUUCUCAUAGACUGUGGACUUUGUGGAAACUCUGGUGGCUUAGUGGUUAAGUACUACGGCUGCCAACCAAAGGGUCGGCAGUUCAAAUCCGUCAGGCGCUCCUUGGAAACUCUAUGGGGCAGUUCUACUCUGUCCUAUAGGGUCGCUAUGAGUCGGAAUCGACUCAACAGCACUGGGUUUGGUUUAGUUUUUUUGGUAGACUUUCUGGAGUCUUGGAGGGGAGAUGGACCCCUGAAACUAUUGCUCUGAUAUAAUCUUUAAACCUUAAACUGAAAUAUAACCCAACACUCACUGCCGUCGAGUCGAUAUCAGACUCAUAGCGACCCUAUAGGACAGAGUAGAACUGCCCCAUAGAGUUUCCAAGUUUAACUUAACUAGUGAAAAAUGGAUGCCUUGAGCAUUAUGCCUUUUAAGAACUAUACAUGGAAUCAGACUGACAACAGCAACUAGAAAGAUUAAAUAGGAACCUAAGGGGCAGUGAGUUUAUGUUAAUGGGGGAGAAACAACUCAGAAAAGGAGGGUGGGAAUGGCUGCACAACUCGGAGAAUGCAAUCAAUGUCACUGAAUGGUACCUGUAGAAACUGUUGAAUUGGUGUAUGUUUUGCUUUGUAUAUUCUCAGCAACAACAACAAAACAAUUAAAAUUUAGAAGAAAAAAAAAGUGAUCAUGUAACACCAAGACACCACUCUUGGUGUCUCAGUGUCCUGCACUUUCAGUGCAACUGUCAUUACAAAAAGAAUCAAAGAAUAGACGUGCCCAGAGUUGAGAGUAAUCCCUCAGUAUGGUAGGCCUGGGACACCAAGUCCCUCACCCCUGUAGCUCUUCACCCUUGUGCCCUUCUUGUGUGAUUCUGGUUCCUUCCUAGUUUGUUCUACCCAAGUGUCCUGACCCAACAGAAAAGGCAUAUCUGCAGCUGUGCUCACACUUUGAGAAGGAAACUUCAAUGGUGUAAAUACCUUGUGAACCUUUGCUAAGUAUGGGUUACUUUAUUUUUCUAUAUUAUUCAUUAGAAUUUUUAUUUCAUUUUACUGUCUGCACAAUAAACCCUGACCUAGUGAACCUGGAGAUCUCAUCACUUUUUCUGUUCAAGCAGACCCUGACUAGUGAGGUGAGGAGAAGACAGUCCUUUUUUACAGUUGAGAGUGGAGGGAGAACCAGAUAGGCAAGGACAGGGGGAUUUUUACUUGGAAUCUAGUAGUAUCUCUCUCCCCACCACCAAAUUCAGCCCUUUUACUCCAUUUCCUGGGAAUGGGAGUGGUGCAGCAUUGGCCCCCUGUGGUUGGUGGUCUUUCUUUACCCAAUUCUUACACAACCUUGAGAUCAACUGACCUUCUUAUGUCCUUGUGAAUUUCUUUAUGAGACACUAGGUCUAGCUCCAUUUUCCCGUAAAGUAGAAAGGCCUGAGCCGCAGCUAUGUUGGCUAAGGAAUGGUGUCAUCUCUACCUCUGGAGAGACCAUUACCAUGUUCAGGGGAAGGGCCAACCCUCACUUAUACUGAGAGGAAGGUCUGAGAUAUGAUAAGAUAUGCUUGAGUGAUGAGGACCUGCCGCCUCAACACUAAUGGCACAAGAGCAUGGAGAUGCAGGUAAGACUUCUCCCUCAGCUGUGUGUUAGGUCAUCUAGACCUCAAGGAAUAGACCAUGAACAUUUCCUCAGGUGCCUGAGACAUACCUAGAAUGAGAUAGUCCUGCCAUGGGGUCUUAGGCUACAAUUACUCUGGUGGAUUUUAGGGCUCUAAGAGGAGGGUGUGUAGGAGGCUUUGUGUAAAACAGAAACCGUAGCCCAUUACUUAUUUGAUUUUACAGUAGCUUUUUCAUUGUAAAAAAAAAACAGAUCCCCUCCCUUCCCCCGAAAAAAGAACCUAACAAAAACACUGUGUCUUUAACAAAAGGCAGACACACCUGUUGUCUUAGUUAUCUAGUGCUGCUGUAACAGAAAUACAGGUGGGUGGCUUUAACAAACAUAAAUUUUUUUUUCUGUUAGUUUAGAAGGAUAGAAGUUUGAAUUCAGGGCGCUGGCUCCAGGGAAAGGCAUUCUCUCUCUGUCAGCUCUAGGGGAAAGUCCUUGUCUCUUUUCAGCUUCUAUUCCUUGGCUCCUUGGUGAUCUUCAUGUGGCAUGGCACCUAUCUUCCCCUAUCUCUGUUUACUUCUCUGUCCUAAUCUGCACUUUUUAUCUCAAAGGUGGUUGGCUAAAAACACGUUCUACACUGAUAGGGCCUGUGAACAUAACAAAGAAAACCCAUUUUGAAACUGGGUUAUAAUCACAGGAAUAGGAGUUAGGAUUUACAAUACAUAUUCUGGGGGGACCCAAUUCAAUCCAUAACACCUGUUAACCACCGAAAAGAUGGAACUUUUGUUUCCAGAAGUCCUCACAUUUGCCACAUCUCAAUCAUAACAUUUUCCCUCCCUCAAAUAAAAGCAUUUCCCGUCUUUUAUGAUAACAACUUCUUUGCUCUAUCUUAUACUUUCAUUAUUCAAAGUUGUAGUUUCGUUCACCUUUAAAAAUGUAUCUUUUGUUCCCUUUUAUUCUAUAGGUUCUUCCUUUAUCUCUUUUCUUCUCCUGAAAUUUAAGUGCCCUGUAGUUUCCCAUAGAUUUGAUUUUGCCGAUUCAAUCCCCAAAGUGUGGUUUAAUCUGUCUCUCUAACCUCUGUAUUUCCUAUAGAUUCAUAGUUGAGUAUAGAGGCUUGAUCAUAUUCAGGUUGAAUUAGUUAAUUUAUUUUUGACAAGGGUACUUCAUUUGUGGUUUUAUGUUCUUCCACCAAGAAAUACUUCAUUUCUGGUUCUCUCUUUUUCCUUUUGUUUUUGGAGGGGGGCUGUUUACUGUCACUGCUUUUUAAUGGCUAAAUCCACUAAUUCAUUAGGGGUUACAAAAGAGUGUUAUUCUCAGUCUCUCAUUCCUUCUUCAUUUAUGAGCUAAAAAUAACUUCUAUAAUAAGAGAUUUAUUUUAAUUCUAUUACUUGGUACAAUUUUUUUUUUUUUUUAAUGAGAAACAACCCAACCGAGUGUCCUGCAGUGUUUGGGUACAGAAAGCAUUUUACUACUCAAUAGAGAAAUCUGAUUAGAUGAGUUGUCUCCAUCCACUGUCGGGCCCCUCAAAACAGUGCACUCGGGAUGGCCCUGGCUCAGAUCCACCACUGACUGCUCUGGUAGGGAUCACAAUAGAGAACACAGCUGGUAAAAAGUGUAGAACAAACUUCAAAUUCACACACAAAAAAGACCAGACUUACUGGUCUGACAGAGACUGAAAAAGCCCCUGAGAUUAUGGCUCCUGGACACCCUUUUAACUAAAAACUGAAGAUUAGUCCAAAGGACUAAUUAGUCCAAAGGAUUAAAAGACUGAGUCCAGUACAACUAGAUGGUGCCCAACUACCACCACUGAAUGCUCUGACAGGGAUCACAAGAGAGGGUCCCAGGCAAAGCUAGAGAUAAAUGUAGAACAAAAUUCUAACUCAUAAAAAAAGACCAGACUUAUUGGCCUGACUGAGACUGGAGAAAUCCCAAGAGUAUGGCCCCUGGACACCCUUUUAGCCUAGUAAUGAAGUGAAUCCUGAAGUUCACCCUCCAUCCAAUAAGGGAGAGGAGGGCUGACUGUAGGUGAAUAGAUUUAUGCCUGGGUUCUCAAUUUUGUUUCAUUGGCCUAUUUGACAUUGUACCAGCACCAGGCUGUUCUGACUACUGUGGCUGUACAGUAGAUUCUAACAUCAGGUAGUGUGAGGCCUCCUACUUUGUUCUUCGUUUUCAAUAACGCUUUACUUAUUGGGAGCCUCUUUCCUUUCUAUAUGAAGUUAGUGAGAAGUUUUUCCAUCAUGUUAAAGAAUGCUGCUGGUAUUUGGACGGGGAUUGCAUUUUAUCUGUAGAUGGCUUUGGGUUGAAUUGAUAUUUCACAAUGUUGAGUCUUCCUAUCCAUGAGUGCGGUAUGGUUUUCCAUUUAUGUAGAUCUCUUUUGGUUUCUUGCAGUAGUGUUUUGUAGUUUUCUAAUGCAUAGGUCUUGUACGUCCCUGGUUACAUUUACUCCUAAGUAUUUCAUUUUUUCGGGGUGAUUAUAAAUGGUAUUGUUUUCUUGACUUCCUUUUGAAGUUCUCUUUGUUGGUGUGUAGGAAUCCAACUGAUUUUUGUGUGUUGAUUUUGUAUUCUGCUAUUCUGCUGAAUCUAUUAGUUAUAGUAGUUUUCUUGUGCAAUCUUUGGGGUUCUCUAUGUAUAAUAUCAUAUUAUCUAAAAACAGGGAUAGUUUUACUUCUUCCUUUCCAAUUAAAAAAAAAGAAAAACUUGUUGCCUUCAAGUCGAUUCCGACUCAUAGCAACCCAUAGGACACAGUAGAACUGCCGCACAGGGUUUCCAAGGAGCAGCCAGUGGAUUUGAACUGCCCACCUUUUCUUUGGCAGUUGAUCUCUUAACCACUAUGCCACUAUCCGAUUUGGAUGCCCUUUCUUUUUCUUGCCUUAUUGCACUAGGUAGAACUUAAAGCACACCGGUAGACAGGAGUGGCAUUAAAGGGCAUCCUUGUCUUUUCCUCUUCUCAGGGGGAAUGCUUUCAACCUUUUUCCAUUGAGAAUGAUGUCAGCAGUUGGCUUUGUAUAGAUGUUGGUUAUUAUGUUGAGGAAUUUCCCUUUUAUUCCUAUUUUGCUGAGAGUUUUUGUCAGGAAUGGGUAUUGGACUUUACCAAAUGCCAUUCUUCAUUGAUUGAUAUGAUCAUGUGAUUCUUUUCUUUCAUUUUAUUUAUGUGAUGAAUUACAGUAAUUGAUUUCUAAUGUUGAAGCAUUCUUGCAUACCUGGUUCGAAUCCCACUUGGCCAUAGUGUAUUAUUUAGGCACUGAGUUCUUGAUAGACACCCUGCCGGUAUAAGCAGAAUUACCAUCUGUGUACUUAGAUAUCUGUCUAUCCAAUGGUUCCUUCUACCAUUUCUGCCUAGGAGCUAAGGUGCUUGUCUUUUCCUGAACAAUGUGGGAUGAUUUUAUUUUGAAAUUCAGAAAAAGGAGAUCCAGGCCAAGGAGCCAGUAUGAGAAAAAGCCCAUAUCACAGAAACACAUGACAUAUUUGGAGAAAGGUGGGUGUUUAGGGGACGUUCAAAAUGACUACCACCCUCCAAAAUCACAUUAACCAACACCAGAUCUGAGCUCCUACCACAUAUCAGGCACUGGUCUUUGUGGUUUGUGUACUAUAACUCCAAGCAUCUUCAUCAGGGCCCUGUGGGAUCAGUAUAGCUUGUGAAGCACAGAAACAUAGAGGAACUUACCCACAGUCACCAACCAUUAAUUAGGGGAACAUGGAAUCUGCAUGUGCAUGUUCUUUAUUCUGAAGCCCAGAGCAGUGGAACAGAUUCUGCAAAGGUUGUUUUGACACAAAUUGGGAUUUAAAAAAAGUCAUUUUUAAGUAAUGAUUUAAAUGGUAGUCAACAUCUGUGUAAAAAUUACUAGCGUUAAACUUGCCAUAAUGGAAUUCAUAAUUUAUUUUAAAAAAUGUAUCCAUAUGCUCAAAUAUCAAUAGGAAAUUAAUACAACUCCACUAGAAAAACAAGCAAAGCAUAUUAACACCAAAUUCACAGAAUCAAGAAAUAAGUAUUACCAAUUAAUGAUGAAAAUAACCAACUUCACUAACUAGAGUGAUAGUAUAUAAUUUGCCGACCCAGAUAACAAUAUGUAGAUUUUUAUUACAUCCCUACAUACACUAUUGAAAAUCUGGAAGCGAUAAAAAUGUCACUUACCGAGGAUUUAGUUACAUGCCUUAGAGCAUAUAUUCAGCCAUAAAAUGAAAUACUAUGUGAUUUUAAAGAAAAGUUGACAUAAAUCUAUAUACUUUUAAUUGGCAAGCUAUCCAGGUGGUAGUGUUAUAUAAAAAAGAUGUAUAAUUUAUAUGAUAUGGUUUAUAUGACUAUAUUUUAAUGCAAAUACCUUUGGAAGUAUAUAAACACUAGAAUAGUUAUUGGUAAGUGGAGGGUUGGAUUAAGCAAGAGGAAACCAAAAAACAAAACCUGUUGCCGUCUGGUCUAUUCCAACUCAUGGUGACCCCAUGUGUUACAGAGAACAGUUUGAAACGGUUUUCUUGGCUGUAAUCUUUAUGGAAGCAGCCUGCCAGGCUUUUCUUCCGUGGAGCCACCAGACACAGUCUAAUUUCCAUUUUUAUGUUGUGACUGAGAGUUUCGGGUGUCUACACCACACCUAUUAACAGUUUCCUCCAUGUAUUCAGGGUCCCUGCGUCCAGCCCUGUAUGAUGCAUGAUGCUUGCACUCAGAGAGUCAUGACUCUCUGGUUCCUCACAUUCCCACCUGCCCUGAAGGGGAGCUGGGACACUGACACCAGAGCAGCUGUGUGAAUGACUGUCAGGGCAGGGACUAGGAAUGAAAAUGCAAAUGGGCCCAUUAGAGGAGGAGAGUGUAAAACGAUGUUUUGAGUGGUGCUGGGCCCUAGAAAGGCUCCACUCGCAGCAAAGUGAAGAAAGAACUUCUUUGCCCAGGAAACAAGGAAGCGUGUCUCUGCCCAUGUCUCUAGGUGAAGAAGGUGUAGCCUGUAAAUCCUGAAUCUCCCUCACGCUUCUCCAAAGUUACCUGAGGCCAUUUGCCAAGGAGAUGUGCCCUAGGGAAAAAGAUUAAUAACAUAUCCCAGAUAUGAGAUACUGAAGAAUGAAAACACUACCAUGGCCCCAGUGUGGUCUAAGCAAUAGCAGAUUGACACCACUUGGGAACACAGAACUAUUAUCUGACCCAGCAAUCCCAAUCUUGGGUACACACCCAGACGAAUGAAGGCAGUCACACAAACAGAAACCUGUACCCCAAUGUCCAUUGCAGCACAUUUCACAAUUGCCAAAAGGUGGAAACAAUUGAAAUGUCCCUUACGAGAUGAAUGGAUAAACAAAAUGUGGUAUACACCCACAAUGGACUAUUACACAGCCAUAAAGAGGAAUGAAGUCCUGAUGCAUGCCACAACAUGGAUGAACAUUGACAACAUCCUGCUGAGUGAAAUACAUCAAUCCCCAAAUGACAAAUACUGUAUUAUCUCACUUAAACAUGAAAUAAGCAAAUAUAUAGAAACCAAAGAUUAUCACUGGUUACCAGGGAUGGGAAGGAGGGGGAAGGGGGAGUUUUUGCUUAUGGGGCAGUGAGUGAGUUAAUGGUGAUAAAAUGAUUUGGAAAAGGAUAUCGCAAGAAUGGUUACACAACUUGAAGAAUGUAAUCAAUGUCAGUGAACUGCAUAGGCAGAAAUUGUUGAGUUGGUGUAAGUUUUAUGUAUAUUAUCACCAUAAGAAAAUAAUGUUUAACCCAGACAUCUCCGCAAAGUAGACAACCACGAGGGGUGGCUCAGGAGAGGCUGGAUCAAUCUUGUGGGCACUGGAAAUGCUCUGUCUCUGACCUGGAAGCUGCUUCCGUGGUGUGUCCAAUCUAUGGGAACUCCGCCUGCUGCAUUAUGAUACCUGCAUUUUUCAUAUGAACCAAAUACUUCAAUAAACAACAACGAACAAAACAACUUGGAAGCUUGUUAGAAAAACAAUCUCAGGCCCUUUUCCAACCUCUGGAAUCAGGAUCUGCAUUUUAAGAAGCUCCAGGGGGGUCACGGUGCCCAUCACAGUCUGAGAAGAGCUGCCCUGAAAGCCUGGAAGAGCAAAUAGGCUGCUUCACUCUCCCUGACUCACACCUAUGGCACCAGGGAGUGCCUGAGGCUAGUAGUUGUCACACUUUAUCAUAAAGGUCACCAAAGAGCUUGUUAGAGCACAGAAUCCUGGACUCCACCUCUAGACAGUCUGGUUGGGCAUGGGGCAAUGGCAAAAAUGUGCAUUUAUGCUAAUUUUCCAGAUGCCAUAAUGCUGCAGGUCAGUGAGUCUCACUUGGAGGACAGCUGGCCUGAACCAAAGGAAAGGGAGCGAGUGGAAGCCUGACUCCCAGAAGGAUCUGGAAGUGAUGCCUACCAGGCACAUCCAUGGCUGCCCACAACACUUGGGCAAGAUGAUUUGAUUGAUGGUGUCAGUCAGCCUUUGCCCAGGACCACAAGGCUUACUUGCUGAGUCCAUGCACGAAGUGGCCAUGGGGUGUCAGGGAUACAGAGGUGACAACCUGACAAGGUUUGUAUCUCACCUAUUGCCUUUGAGUUGAUUUCAACUUAUAGCCACCCUACAAGACAGAGUAGAACUGUCUGCAUUUGGUUUUGAAGCCCGUAAUCUUUAUGGAAGCCCAGUGCCACAUCUUUCUCCCAUGGAGCAACUGGUGGAUUUGAAUAACCGGUUUUUUAGUUAACAGCUGAGCCUUUAACCACUGCUCCACCAGGGCUAUUUAUGUGUCAAGGUACAUGUACAGGUAGUCCCUGACUUACAAUGGAGUUCUGUUCCUAGGACUCCAUUGUAAGUCAGUUCUGACGUAAAUCAGAUACUUCAUUUUUUAAAAUAAUUUUCAUUAUUAUUGCCUUUUAUUAUUAGUAUUUUUAUAAAUCUGAUUUAUUUGUCUUUGGGGAUUGGAAACAUUACAUAUACUCUUACAGAUAUAUUUAAAUAUAUACAUCAUAAAACAUUACAUAUGUCCAUAAAAAGCAGAUGACAUUGGCUUACAACUCCACUUGCAGAAGCUCCUGUAUCAUCUGUAUUACCCCGGGAAUGGAGAUGGCAUUUCUAGUCAGAAAAUUACUAAGAGUUUCUGUAACUUUGUAUGUAGUACAUUUUACUAAUGAUAAGAAGUAAAAAAAAAAAAAAAAAAAGGCAGUCACAAGUGGGGUUUGUCAUAACUCAAAAACAUUGAAAAUUGGGGACUACCUGUAUUUCAAUGAUAGAGACACACAAUAUAUAAACAUGUUUAUUAUAAUGUUACUGAUAACUGUCUUAGAGAAAACUAUGCCAGCCUAGAAGAUUGGUGGUGGAGCAGAUGGCAGCAGUGAUAUUUCAGACCGGGUGGUUAGAGAAGGUCUUUCUGAGGAUUUGACCUGUGGAUAUUUGAGCAGAGGCCAGCAUAGGUGGGGAGGAGAUAUGUGAAUACCUGGGGAGGGGAGGUGUACUGGGGAGAGUCAGCAGGCACAGAUGCCCUGAGACAGGACUGACCAUGUCAAGAGACCAGAGCUCAUAGAGGUGAGAGAGCUAGGCUGAGAGCGGUGGGUGAGGCCAGAGUAGUCAGAGGGGCUUGUAGAAAAUGGUGGGGUUGCAAUUUCAUUGUGCCUAAGAAGGGAACUCCCUGUGUGAUGCAAUGGGUUAAGGUGUUGGGCUGCUAACCAAAGAGUUGGUAGUUCGAGUCCACCCAGAGGCACCUAGGAAGAAAGAUAUAGGGCUGUACUUCUGAAAAAUCAGCAAUUGAGAACCCUAUGGAGUACAGUUCUACUCUGACACAUAAAGGGUUGCCAUGAGUUAGAGUUGACUCAAUGGCAACAGAUUACUGGAAGAGGAACACACUGGAGUGCUAUGUGAUUUUUAGUGUUGGGGAUAUGUUGUAAUUCACAUAGAAAAAGAUCAUGUCCGUUGUGCGGGUCAUGGACAGCAGGGCACGAGGGUCAACAGGGAGUGGAGCUGGAAGGCCCAGCCAGUGUCCUGGUGUAGAGGCCAUGGUUCUAGGACAGAAGCAGUGGUGGUGUGAGUAGUGAGCGGAUUUAGUGUUCAUGUAUUUUUAAGACAGUGCUAGCAGUAAUCCAGGAGCACUGGUGGCAUACUGGUUAAGCACUCAGCUACUAAUGGAAAGUUCAGCAGUUGGAACCCACAAGCUGCUCUACGGGAGAAAGAUGUGGCAGUUAGUUUCCAUAAAGAUGACAGUUUUGGAAACCAUAUGGGACAGUUCUACACUGUCCUACUCCAAGAUGGCGAAGUAGUCAGAUGCUUCUGGUGAUCCCUCUUACAACAAAGACCCCUUCCAAAAAGUGAAAUGAUUAUAUAUAUGACAAACUAGGAGCCCUGAACAUCAAAGGCAAUGUUAGGAAAUCUGACUGAGCGGCAGGGGAGGGAGAUGCGGUUCAGAAGUGGUGAGGAGUUGCCAGGCCUGACACAGAGGAAACCGUUGCCACUCAGGCACAUCCUCCUGGAGUGACCGUGGCAGGGCUGACUGCAGCAUUGGGGUUCAGUUUCCUCACAGAGAGACAGUGAGUUGCACAAUCUACUCACACGUCCGGAACAAGAGAAGAACAGUGCUCUUGGCAAAAGCUAAGUACUUGCAUUUAUUUUACGAUGUCCCCAGCCCCUGAGCCUGCUUCAGUGGCUGUAGAUUCCCCUGGGCCAGAUAUAGCUCCUGCUGUACUCUCAGAGCCAUUCUCCUGGCCUUGAAAAAGAAAUAAAUUAACAAUUGGGGGAAAAGAUAAUCUGCCAGUUCCACUAAGCUGGGGAGCUCAGGACAGAAGUGGCUCCUGUCCAGGCACAAACGGUCCGUGGACUUUGAAUACUUUUACCCCUGUAUGGACCUGAGUGGGCCCAUUUCAGGAGAUUAGGCCCUCAUUGGCAGACUGCAAUGGUGUGUGUGCUCAAUAACUGACUUCAACUGUUUCAGCUGUGUGGUGGAAAGGUGGGUUUUUGAUGUUUGACACUGCUUUGCCUAUUAAACAGGGUCCUUACCUACUCACAUCAGGGGCCUGAGGACUGGCGGCUCCACCAAAGUCACCUAGCCAACCACAACAGAGGUCAAGGAUAAGUAGCGCCUCCCAGUCCUUACAACCAAAAGCAUUUGGUGCCCAUAGUCGAGCUGCAGAACCCACCCACCUGUGCGCCCUAGGGAACAGAAACGUGCUUUCUUCACAGACACUCAGGAUGGUUGUCAGCCCCCUGCUUUGUUUAGAAUGUGAUCCCCUGCUGCUACCAGUUACCUGUGUGGGCGCCAGUCACCCCUGCCUCUCUAAGAUUGUAGGACAAAGCGUGUACCACACAUUUGAUAACCAACUACCUGGACACGUGAGGUGAAUCCAUACAAGAAAAGUGAAUGGAUUCCUAGGCUCAUAUCCCUGGUAACAACUUUAGCCAUCUGGUGACAGGAUGUUAGAGCUUUAAAGGCGUAAAUAAUCAAGCUAACUCGCUCAAGCACCCUACCUGGGCAUAUCAAAACAAAACAAAGCAAGCAGCUAGGAUACAGUAAACAAAAUAAUACAAUAACUUAUAGAUGGCUUGGAGAAAACAGUCAAUAUAAAAUCACAUAAAGAAGCAGACCAUGAAUGCUUCAUCAAGCUCUCAAAACAAAUAGUGAAGGAAUCUUCUGGAUGAAGAUGUUUUCCUGGAAUUACCAGGUGUAGAAUACAAAAGAUUAAUAAACGGAACCUUCAAGACAUUAUGAAGGGAAUCAGGCAAAACACAGAACAAGCCAAUGAACACACAGAUAAAGCAGUUAAGAAAUUUAAAAGGUUAUUCAAGAAAACAAUGAAAAAUUUAAUAGACUGCAAGAAACCAUAGAGAGACAGCAAUCAGAAAUUCAGAAUUAGGCAUCUCAAAAGAAAGAGGAGCAGAACUGAGGAACUGGAAGGCAGAUAUAGUGAGUAUGAAGAUAAAACACUUGGCACCAAUAUAUUCGAUAAAAAGUCAAAAGAAUUAAAAAAAAAAUGAAGAAAGCCUAAGAAUCAUGUGGGACACUGUCAAAAGAAAUAAGCUAUGAGUGAUUGGAGUACUAGAACAGGGAGGGAAAAUAGAAAAUACAGAGAGAAUUGUUGAAGAUUUGUUGGCAGAAAACUUCCCUGAUAUCAUGAAACAUGAGAAAAUAUUUACCCAAGAUGCUCAUCAAACACCACAUAAGGUAGAUCUCAAAAGAAAGUCACCAAGACAUAUUAUAAUCAAACUUGCCAAAAGCAAAGAUAAAGAGAGGAUUUUAAUAGCAGCUAGGGAUAAAUGAAAAAUCAACUACAAAGGAGAGUCAAUAAGAAUAAGUUUGGACUACUUGGCAGAAAACAUGCAGGAAAGAAGGCAUUGGGAUGACUUAUAUAAAGUGUUGAAGGAAAAAAAACUGCCAGCCAAGAAUCAUAUAUCCAAUAAAAUUGUCUCUCAAACAUGAAGGCUAAAUUAGGACAUUUCCAGAUAAACAGAAAUUUAGGGAAUUUGUAAAAACCAAGCCAAAACUACAAGAAAUACUAAGGGGAGUUCUCUGGUUACAAAAUCACUAAUAUCAGAUAUCAACCCAAGACUAGACCACAGGACAGAGCAAGCAGAUAUCAAUCCAGAAAGGGAAAUCACAAAAACAAAUCAAGAUAAAAAACACUGAAAACAGGGAACCAGUGAUGUCAUUAUGUAAAAGAUGACAAUAUUAAAUGAAUAAAGAGGGACUAAAAAAUGUAUUUAUAGAUCUUUCAUAUGGAGAGGAAGUCAAGGUGAUAUAAAGAAACAAAAGUUCGAUUUAAACUUAGAAAAAUAAGGGUAAAUAUUGAGGUAACCACAAAGGAGAGUCACAAUCCUACACAUCAAAAUAAAAUAAAUAAAAACAUAAAGACUCAGCAAAAACAAAAUCAACAACAAGAAAUAAGAGGAAAGACAAUAUAUAAAGAUAAACUACUCAGCACAAAAAAUUAAGUAGAAAAAAGAAACUCAACAACACACAAACAAAGACAUCAAAAUGACAGCACUAAACUCAUACCUAUCCAUAAUUACACUGAAUGUAAAUGGACUAGAUGCAGCAAUGAAGAGACAGAGAGUGGCAGAAUGGAUAAAAAUACACGAUCCGCCUAUAUUCUGCCUACAAGAGACAUACCUUAGAUUUAAAGACACACACACAAAAAAAUCAAAGGAUAAAAAAAAAUCAAGCAAACAAUAAUCAAAAAAGAGCAGGAGUGGCAAUAUUAAUUCCUGUCAAAAUAGACUUUAAAGUUAAAUCCACCACAAAGGAUAAGGAAGGACACUAUAUAAUUAUUAAAGGGACAAUAUACCAGGAGGAUAUAACCAUAUUAAAUAUUUAUGCACCUAACGGCAGGGCUUCAAGAUACAUAAAACAAACUCUAUCAGCAUUGAAAAGUGAGAUAGACAGCUCCACGAUAACAGUAGGAGACUUCAACAUACCACUUUUGGUGAAAGACAGAACAUCCAGAAAGAAGGUCAACAAAGAUGCAGAAGAUCUAAAUGUCACAAUCAACCAAAUCGACCUCAUAGACAUAUACAGAACACCCCACAAAACAGCAGCCGAGUAUACUUUCUUUUCCAGUGCACAUGGAACAUUUUCCAGAAUAGACCACAUAUUAGGUCAUAAAGCAAGCCUUAACAGAAUCCAAAACAUUGAAAUAUUACAAAGCAUCUUCUCUGACCAGAAGGCCAUAAAGUAGAAAUGAAUAACAAAAAAAGCAGGGAAAAAAGAUCAAACACUUGGAAACUGAGCAAUACCCUGCUCAAAAAUGUCUGGGUUAUAGAAGACACUAAGGAUGAAAUAAAGAAAUUCCUAGAAUCCAAUAAGAAUGAAAACACUUGCUAUCAGAACCUUUGGGACACAGCAAAAGCGGUGCUCAGAGGCCAAUUUAUAGAAAUAAAUGCACACAUCCAAAAAGAAGAAAGGGCCAAAAUUGAAGAAUUAUCCCUACAACUUGAACAAAUAGAAAGAGAGCAACGAAAGAAACCCUCAGGCACCAGAAGAAAGCAAAUAAUAAAAAUUAUUAAAUGAAAUAGAGAACAGAAAAAUAAUUGAAGGAGUUAUCAAGACCAAAAGCUGGUUCUUUGAAAAAAAUCAACAAAAUUGAUAAACCAUUGGCCAAACAGACAAAGGAAAACAGGAGAGGAAGCAAAAAACCCAAAUAAGAAAUGAGAUGGUUGAUAUUACAACAGACUCAACUGAAAUUAAGAGUUAUAUCAGACUACUAUGAAAAAUUGCACUCCAACAAACUUGAAAACCUAGAAGAAAUGGAUGAAUUUCUAGAAACACGCUAACUAGUUAACCUAACACAAACAGAGGUAGAACAACUAAAUAAACCCAUAAAGAAAGAAGAGAUUGAAAAGGUAAUUAAAAAACUCCCAACAACAACAACAACAAAAAAGCCCUGGCCCGGACGGCUUCACUGCAUCGUUCUACCGAACUUUCAGAGAAGAGUUAACACCACUACUACUAAAGGUAUUUCAGAGCAUAGAAAAGGACGGUACAUUCCCAAACUCAUUCUAUGAAAUCAGCAUAUAUCUGAUACCAAAAUUAGGUAAAGACACCACAAAAAAAGAAAAUUAUAGACCUAUAUCCCUUUAUCCCUCAUGAACUUAGAUGCAAAAAUCCUCAACAAAAUUCUAGCCAACAGAAUUCAACAAUAUAUCAAAAAAAAUAACACACCAUUACCACGUUGGAUUCGUACCAGAUAUGCAGGGAUGGUUCAACCUCAGAAAAACAAUCAAUGUCAUCCAUCAUAUAAAUAACACAAAAGACAAGAACCACAUGAUCUUAUCAAUUGAUGUAGAAAAGGCAACUGACAAAGUCCAACACUUAUUCAUGAUAAAAACUCUCAGCAAAUUAGGAAUAGAAGGAAAAUUUCUCAACAUAAUAAAGGGCAUUUAUACAAAGCCAACAGCCAACAUCAUCCUAAAUGGAGAGAGUCUGAAAGCAUUCCCCCUGAGGAUAGGAACCAGACAAGGAUGCCCUUUAUCACCACUCAUAUUCAACAUUGUGUUGAAGGUCCUAGCAAGAGCAAUUAGGCUAGAUAAAGAAAUAAAGAGCAUCCACAUUGGCAAUGAAGAAGUAAAAGUAUCUCUAUUUGCACAUGACAUGAUCUAAUACACAGAAAAUCCUAAAGAAUCCUCUAGAAAACUAAUGAAACUAAUAAGAGUUCAGCAGAGAAUCAGGAUACAAGAUAAACAUACGAAAAUCAGUUGAAUUCCUCUACACCAACAAAGAGAACGUUGAAGAGGAAAUUACCAAAUCAAUACCAUUUAUGGUAGCCCCAAGAAGAUAAAAUACUUAGGAAUAAAUCUUACCAGAGACAUAAAAGACCUGUACAAAGAAAACUACAAGACACUACUGCAAGAAACCAAAAGAGACCUACAUAAGUGGAAAAACAUUCCUUGCUCAUGGAUAGGAAGACUCAACAUUGUAAAAAUGUCUAUACUACCAAAAGUGAUCUAUAGAUACAAUGCAAUUCCGAUCCAAAUUCCAAUGGCAUUUUUUAAUGAGAUGAAGAAACAAAUCACCAACUUCAUAAGGAAGGGAAAGAGGCCCUGAAUAAAUAAAGCAUAACUGAAAAAGAAGAACAAAGUGGGAGGCCUCACACCACCUGAUUUGAGAACCUAUUAUGCCGUGACAUUGGCCAAAACAGCCUGAUACUGGUACUAUAACAGACACAUAGACCAAUGGGACAGAAUUGAGAAUCCAGACAUAAAUCCAACCACAUAUGAGCAGCCGAUAUUUGACAAAGUCCCAAAGUCAGUUAAACCGGGAAAAGACAGUCUUUUUAACAAAUGCUGCUGUCAUAACUGAAUAUCCAUCUGCAAAAAAAUGAAACAAGACCCAUACCUCACACCAUGCACAAAAAAGAACUCAAAAUGGAUCAAAGACCUAAAUAUAAAGUCUAAAAUGAUAAAGAUCACAGAAGAAAAAAUAGGGACAACAUUAGGAACCCUAAUACAUAGCAUGAACAGUAAACAAAAUAUUAUAAACAAUGCAGAAACACCACAAAAGAAAUCUAGAAAUAGAAGUACCAUAUGAUCCGACAGUCCCACUCCUUGGAAUACAUCCUGGAGAAAUAAGAGCCUUUAUAGGAACAGAUAUAAGACAAAAAAUGAUACUGGUGAGGAGCGAGCUUCUUGGCUCAAGUAGACACAUGAGGCUAUGUGGGCAGCUCCUGCUACAGGGGAGAUGAGAAGGCAGAGGGGGACAGAAGCUGGCUAAAUGGACAUGGGGAAUACAGGGUGGAGAGAAGGAAUGUGCUGUUUCAUUAGGGAGAGAGCAACUAGGAGUACAUAGCAAGGUAUAUAUAAAUUUUUGUAUGAGAGACUGGCUUGAUUUGUAAAUUUUCACUUAAAGCACAAUAAAAAAAAAAAGAUAUGAAAUUGAGUGGAUAGAAGCCUUUUUCUUUUUAGCAGUAGUUCAAUGGAGAACCACACAUUUAUUUACCUUAAAUCACCGUUGUUUGGAGGUGGCUUACUAUACAAGUGCAUUAUAAUAAAUACACUCUAAUUAUUUAAAAAUCAACACCAAAGAAAACAGAAAAUUUAAAUAUUAACACUAAGGUAAAACCAGAACAGUACUGGACAAAUUGGAAUAUCUGAAACAUUUGCUGUAAAGCUUUUACUAUUUACCUAGCCAUCCGGAUCUUCAGCCCUUUAAGGGACCUCAGUCCCCGCAGAGGAGAAAAGAGCUGGGCAGCCCUGGAGCCCAGCCAUGCCACCCUGGGUUAUACAAGCAGGGGCGCUGGCUGGUUUGGGGUUUCUUUCUGGACCCAGCUGGGGUGACUAAACUCGGUGCAGAGCCUGGCGUCCCGUGCCCCUAUGCUCGUGAGUCAGGGGUCAGAGGGCGAGAGUGCAGGAAGAACAAGAAGUUUAUGGGACAGAGUAGAGGGGGCUGGAGGCAGGCAGGGAGAGGGCUUCUUACAGCCCUUGACCUUGGAGUUUGGUGGGAGAGGGGAAGCCUAGGCAGGUUCUAUCCCGAAAUGGAGAACCCAAGCUUUCAGAGAAAGGGAGAUUAGGCUUCAUCUUUUUUUUUUUUUUCCUCAUUGCAAUCAUAUGUAAAUGCUUUGGGACAAACCUAGCUUAUUAUAAUCAUUAUUGUUAAAGUAUUGAAAGUAUGUGGAGGGGUGAGCUGCUUGAGAGUUUGCUGCAGCCACUGUGCCUAGGAAAUCCCUGAGAAGGGCAGAGGUGCUAAGGUGGGGGAUAGGGGGUAGCAAUGGCAGAGGACUGUAUUUGCCCUGGGGGAGCAAAUCCAAGGGGGUGCCAGAUGAGACUGUCCAGCAAUUCACCACUUGGUGGUGGGGGGAAUCACACCCCCCUACCCUUUUGGAGAGGCCUGCAGAGAAUUGCAUCCCUUCCUCCCACCCUGUCCCCUGUCCCCCCAAGUCCAUGAAUCACCCUCUCCCCCACCCUUCAGGAAGACAAGGCAGGCAGGGGCUGGGAGUGGUUGCUCUUGGGAGCUGGUUACCUUCCACAGGAAUCUGGAGAAGGGUAGUCAUCAUGGAGAACAGGGCUCAGGACCAGUUGUCAGAGGUGCUGGGUUCCAUCUCCCUCUCUGCCCCUCACUAUAUUGUGUCCUCUAGCAAUUAAAACAGUCUCUGGGAUAAUGAGUUUUUCUUAUCUGUAGGAGGACAGACAGGACCCUCCAUCCCGAUUGUCCAGCAAGUAAUUGGCCUAGGUCCAAACCAAGGGAUUCUGAUUCAGAAGAUUUUGGCUGUAGCUUGGGCUUAAGGAUAUGAAAAGUCCUCAGGUG